rnacentral:rRNA from 1 species
UACGGGGGGUGCGAGCGUUGUCCGGAAUCACUGGGCGUAAAGGGCGCGUAGGUGGCCUGAUAAGGGUGUGGUGAAAGUCCGGGGCUCAACCCCGGAUCGGCCGUGCCGACUGUUAGGCUAGAGUACUGUAGGGGCAGGCGGAAUUCCGGGUGUAGCGGUGGAAUGCGUAGAGAUCCGGAGGAAGACCGGUGGCGAAGGCGGCCUGCUGGGCAGUUACUGACACUGAGGCGCGACAGCGUGGGGAGCAACAGG